rnacentral:rRNA from 1 species
UACGUAGGGUGCAAGCAUUGUCCGGAAUUAUUGGGCGUAAAGAGCUCGUAGGCGGUCUGUCACGUCGGCUGUGAAAUCCCGAGGCUCAACCUCGGGUCUGCAGUCGAUACGGGCAAACUAGAGUAUUGCAGGGGAGACUGGAAUUCCUGGUGUAGCGGUGAAAUGCGCAGAUAUCAGGAGGAACACCGGUGGCGAAGGCGGGUCUCUGGGCAAUAACUGACGCUGAGGAGCGAAAGCGUGGGGGGCGAACAGG